rnacentral:rRNA from 1 species
UGGGGAAUAUUGCACAAUGGGCGCAAGCCUGAUGCAGCCAUGCCGCGUGUGUGAAGAAGGCCUUCGGGUUGUAAAGCACUUUCAGCGAGGAGGAAGGUGGUGAGCUUAAUACGCUCAUCAAUUGACGUUACUCGCAGAAGAAGCACCGGCUAACUCCGUGCCAGCAGCCGCGGUAAUACGGAGGGUGCAAGCGUUAAUCGGAAUUACUGGGCGUAAAGCGCACGCAGGCGGUUUGUUAAGUCAGAUGUGAAAUCCCCCGGGCUCAACCUGGGAACUGCAUUUGAAACUGGCAAGCUAGAGUCUCGUAGAGGGGGGUAGAAUUCCAGGUGUAGCGGUGAAAUGCGUAGAGAUCUGGAGGAAUACCGGUGGCGAAGGCGCCCCCUGGACGAAGACUGACGCUCAGGUGCGAAAGCGUGGGGCAGCAAACAGGAUUAGAUACCCUGGUAGUCCACGCUGUAAACGAUGUCGAUUUGGAGGUUGUG